rnacentral:rRNA from 1 species
UAGCAUGGAAUAAUAGAAUAGGACGUGUGGUUCUAUUUUGUUGGUUUCUAGGACCGCCGUAAUGAUUAAUAGGGACAGUCGGGGGUAUCAGUAUUCAAUUGUCAGAGGUGAAAUUCUUGGAUCUAUUGAAGACUAACUACUGCGGAAGCAUUUGCCAAGGAUGUUUUCAUUGAUAAGGAACGAAAGUUAGGGGAUCGAAGACGAUCAGAUACCGUCGUAGUCUUAACUAUAAACUAUGCCGACUAGGGAUCGGACGAUGUUAUUUCUUGACGCGUUCGGCACCUUUCGAGAAAUCAAAGUGCUUGGGCUCCAGGGGGAGUAUGGUCGCAAGGCUGAAACUUAAAGAAAUUGACGGAAGGGCACCGCCAGGGGUGGAACCUGCGGCUUAAUUUGACUCAACACGGGGAAACUCACCAGGUCCAGACACAGUGAGGAUUGACAGAUUGAGAGCUCUUUCUUGAUUCUGUGGGUGGUGGUGCAUGGCCGUUCUUAGUUGGUGGAGUGAUUUGUCUGCUUAAUUACGAUAACGAACGAGACCUUAACCUGCUAAAUAGCCCGUACUGCUUUGGCAGUUCGCCGGCUUCUUAGAGGGACUAUCGGCUCAAGCCGAUGGAAGUUUGAGGCAAUAACAGGUCUGUGAUGCCCUUAGAUGUCCUGGGCCGCACGCGCGUUACACUGACAGGGCCAGCGAGUACCUCCUUGACCGAAAGGUCCGGGUA